rnacentral:rRNA from 1 species
AACGAACGCUGGCGGCAGGCUUAACACAUGCAAGUCGAGCGCAUCCUUCGGGGUGAGCGGCAGACGGGUGAGUAACGCGUGGGAACGUACCCUUUCCUACGGAAUAGCUCCGGGAAACUGGAAUUAAUACCGUAUACGCCCUUAGGGGCAAAGAUUUAUCGGGGAAGGAUCGGCCCGCGGUGGAUUAGCUAGUUGGUGGGGUAAAGGCCUACCAAGGCGACGAUCCAUAGCUGGUCUGAGAGGAUGAUCAGCCACAUUGGGACUGAGACACGGCCGAAACUCGUACGGGAGGCAGCAGUGGGGAAUAUUGGACAAUGGGCGCAAGCCUGGGCCAGCCGUGCCGCGAGAGUAAUGAAGGCCUUAGGGUUGUAAAGCUCUUUCAGUAGGGAAGAGAAUGACGGUACCUACAGAAGAAGCCCCGGCUAACUUCGUGCCAGCCGCCGCCGUAA